UCCUGCACCAUGACAGAUCCUCUGGAGAAGCCUGCAAUGCUACUCUGGCUGCUGGUCAUCAUCUUUGCUGCAGCCUCCAAAGGCACCCUUUCCCAAAUAGAAAUGGUGACAUCAGGUCCCAAGGAAGGGACAGUUUCUGGAUCACUCCUCCUCACCUGCACUGUAAAAGGAGCACUUCUGGACAGCCCUUACUAUGACUGGAACUGUGUCCGUCUGUCUCCAGGAGGGCAGUUGCAAUUCCUAGGCUGGAUCUAUCCUUUUGGGAAUAACACAGGCUAUGCCCCAUCCUUCCAAGAUCGUGUCACCAUCUCUGCAGAUAAAGCCAAAAACAAGGUUUCCCUGCAGCUGCGCACCCUUAGUGCCACAGAUAGAGCCACCUACUUCUGUGCAAGACAGCACACAUAAAGCCAAAGGAGGGAGUGACAACACAAAAAGUGAGAAGACUGCUGUGGUGAUAGAACUUCUCAAGGAGGCAGUUACCCGUACAAACUCUGUGAAAUAAGGAUAAGGUCUAAAAGAUCUUGGAACUGCCCAUCAAU